AUACGGAGGGUGCAAGCGUUAAUCGGAAUCACUGGGCGUAAAGCGCACGUAGGCGGUCUGGUGUGUCAGGUGUGAAAUCCCCCGGCUUAACCGUGGAAUUGCACUUGAAACUACCGGACUUGAGUAUCGGAGAGGGUGGCGGAAUUCCAGGUGUAGGAGUGAAAUCCGUAGAUAUCUGGAGGAACACCAGUGGCGAAGGCGGCCACCUGGACGACUACUGACGCUGAGGUGCGAAAGCCAGGGGAGC
rnacentral:rRNA from 1 species